rnacentral:rRNA from 1 species
AUUGAACGCUGGCGGCAGGCCUAACACAUGCAAGUCGAGCGAGCGGCGGACGGGUGAGUAAUGUCUGGGACACUGCCUGAUGGAGGGGGAUAACUACUGGAAACGGUAGCUAAUACCGCAUACCAUCAGAUGUGCCCAGAUGGGAUUAGCUAGUAGGUGGGGUAACGGCUCACCUAGGCGACGAUCCCUAGCUGGUCUGAGAGGAUGACCAGCCACACUGGAACUGAGAAACUGUCCAGACUCCUACGGGAGGCAUAGGUGGGGAAGAUUGCACAAUGGGCGCAAGCCUGAUGCGGCCAUGCCGCGUGGGUGAAGAAGGCCUUCGGGUUGUAAAGCACUUUCAGCGGGGAGGCGUUACCCGCAGAAGAAGCACCGGCUAACUCCGUGCCAGCAGCCGCGGUAAUAC